UUUUUCUCCUUUUGAUGUGACGAAACACAAGAAUGAAGAUUUGGAGUGAAAAUGUUGAUUGAGAAUGGAAGGGUUUUUGAAAAGGGUUUGAGUGAAAAAUAAGUAUGGGUCUAUGAUCAUGCAGAUGACUAUUUUAUCAAAAUCACGUUUCCUUAUUCUGAAGAUGCAUUUCUGUAAAUACAUGACAUAUAAAUGUGACAAAUAUUUU
rnacentral:lncRNA from 1 species